rnacentral:rRNA from 1 species
UACGGGGGGGGCAAGCGUUGUUCGGAAUUACUGGGCGUAAAGGGCUCGUAGGCGGCCAACUAAGUCGGAUGUGAAAUCCCCAGGCUUAACCUGGGAACUGCAUCCGAUACUGGAUGGCUUGAAUCCGGGAGAGGGAUGCAGAAUUCCUGGUGUAGCGGUGAAAUGCGCAGAUAUCAGGAGGAACACCAAUGGCGAAGGCAGAUCUCUGGGCCGUAACUGACGCUGAGGAGCGAAAGCAUGGGGAGCGAACAGG